GGGGGGAGUGCGCGCAUGUGACGUCACCGCGUGAGGUCGGCGUCUCGGCCCGAUGAUGCGUCGCUGACGCGCGACGCGUCCGCCACGGGGCCCGGACCGUCGCCCUUGUUGCUAUGGCGACCCCGCUCGCCGGGUCAAGGGGUCACGGCGCGGCCUGGGACUUUCUGAAAAGCCAACUGAAAUAAAUGGAUUGAAACAAAUAAACAAAAAUUAUCGUUCCACACUGGGAUGGAAAAAUUGCUCACCAGUUCCUGGUGAGCCAGCAGGUAACGCUUGAGCUGGUCUUCCUCUUCCUCCUCCUGCUCUUCCUCCCCAAGGAGCUCAGAAAACUUCCACCAUCUCUGGAUGUUGUGAUGGAGAACUACGAGCUGGUGACUUCUCUCGGCUAUCCAGUUCUCAAACCCGAUCUCCUGUCUCGAAUCGAACGGGUCGGAGAGCCGUGCGUGGGCGACCAGCUGGAUUCCACCCGUGGGAUUCCCACCGAUCCAUGUCCAGGU